GGCGCACUACACGUUGCGGGCGGCGGACAUCUUGGCGGCCAACUCGGGGCGGUAGGCGAAGCCCGGGUCGCGGAAAGAGCGCCCUUGGCGAUCCCGCUGGACAGGAGGAGGCCUUCGAGGGGCAAGUCGGGCCGCUGGGGAUACAGGUUUGAUCCCUGGUCCGGGAAGAUCCCAAGUGCCAUGGGGAAACAGCCCACGCGCCACACUGCUGAAGCCUGCUUGCCUAGUGCCUGUGCUCCACAACAAGAGAAGACACUGCAAUGAGAAGCCAACUCAUUGCAACUGGAGAAAGCCUGUGCACAGCAGCAAAGACCCAGUGCAGCCAAAGAUAAAUAAAGAGGACUCCUGUAACCCACUAUGAAGACUCAGGGGGAUACUACGUGUGUAAUUUGACGAAUCCACCAUAUGCCCUUGGUCCCGUGUAUUAUCACGUCGUAUCCCUGGAGUCUGCAGCAUCUAUCUGUGUCCUCUGUAGCCCUUUGGCAGUGCCUCUGAGGCCACAGCUGAGGUAGCUUGGCCCAUCUUGCUGACCACGGUUCCUGUCCUCAUGGUCUCAAGGUGGUUGUUUCAUGCAUCACUUGAAGCCAUACAACAUUUGGCUGAAGAUAUUGGCACCAGGGAGUGUUUGUUUCCUUUGACACUGUAACAAAUUGCCACAAAUUUUGUGGCUUGAAACAGCAAAAAUGUAUCAUCCCACAGCUGUGAAGAUCAGAAGGGAAAAUAUAUCUUUCCGGGCAAAAUAAACAUGUUGGCAGUUCUGCCUUCUUUCCAGUCUCUAGGGGAGAACCAGCUUCUUCGCCUUUUACAGCUUCUAGAGACUUCCUGCCAGUGGUGUAGCAUCUACAAGUCUCUCUCUGACUCUGACCUCGGCUUCAUCAUCACAUUGCCUCCACUGACUCUGAUUCUCCUGCUUCUUUUCUUUCUUUCUUUUGAAGAUAAUUGGAGGGGUCUUUUUUUUUGUUUUGCUGCGUUGGGUCUUAGUUGCCACAUGUGGGAUCUUCCUUCCAUCAUUCAGGAGCUUUCACUGCAGCGUACAGAUUCUCAACUGUGGCAUGCAGGCACAGGAGCACGCGGCUUCAGAAGCUGUGAUUUGUGGGCUUCUUUGCUCCGAGGCUCCCCAACCAAGAAUGAAACCUGCGUUCCCUGCAUUGACAGGUAGAUUCUUAA